rnacentral:rRNA from 1 species
UGGGGAAUAUUGGACAAUGGGCGAAAGCCUGAUCCAGCCAUGCCGCGUGUGUGAAGAAGGUCUUCGGAUUGUAAAGCACUUUAAGUUGGGAGGAAGGGCAGUAAGCGAAUACCUUGCUGUUUUGACGUUACCGACAGAAUAAGCACCGGCUAACUCUGUGCCAGCAGCCGCGGUAAUACAGAGGGUGCAAGCGUUAAUCGGAAUUACUGGGCGUAAAGCGCGCGUAGGUGGUUCGUUAAGUUGAAUGUGAAAGCCCCGGGCUCAACCUGGGAACUGCAUCCAAAACUGGCGAGCUAGAGUAGGGCAGAGGGGGGUGGAAUUUCCUGUGUAGCGGAGAAAUGCGUAGAUAUAGGAAGGAACACCAGUGGCGAAGGCGACCACCUGGGCUCAUACUGACACUGAGGUGCGAAAGCGUGGGGAGCAAACAGG